CAGUCGCCACGGUAAUACGUAGGGUGCAAGCGUUAAUCGGAAUUACUGGGCGUAAAGCGUGCGCAGGCGGUUGUGUAAGACAGGUGUGAAAUCCCCGGGCUUAACCUGGGAACUGCGCUUGUGACUGCACAGCUAGAGUAUGGCAGAGGGGGGUGGAAUUCCACGUGUAGCAGUGAAAUGCGUAGAGAUGUGGAGGAACACCGAUGGCGAAGGCAGCCCCCUGGGCCAAUACUGACGCUCAUGCACGAAAGCGUGGGGAGCAAACAGGAUUAGAUACCCGUGUAGUCCCUGUCUCUUAUAC
rnacentral:rRNA from 1 species